GGGUCAGUAGGUUGGUCGUGCCACCGGUACGUACUGGUCUCACUGAUUCCUCCUUCCUGAAGAACCGUAAUGCCAUUAAUUUGGUGUUGCGGGGAAACAGGACUGUUACUUUGAAAAAGUUAGAGUGUUUAAAGCAAGCUAACGCUUGAAUACAUUAGCAUGGAAUAAUGAAAUAGGACGAUCGAUCCUAUUUUGUUGGUAUCUAGGAUUGACGUA
rnacentral:rRNA from 1 species